rnacentral:lncRNA from 1 species
GAUGGCCUCCUCGAUCCCUCGGGUCCGAUCCUACACAGGUGGACUCGAAUGAGGUGCCAAACACACUCUAACAACUCAUAAGCAACUGCCCAAAAACCCCCUAGAACAUCACAUAAACAUGCAUAGAAAACAACCUUGAAAAGGCUGGACAGGGCACUUUCGGCGGCACCUUCGGCGGCCGAACCCUUCCUCCAGAGACGAAACUAGGGCACUUUCGGCGGCACCUUCG